GAUGUAUCACGCGUGCUCCAUUUCCAUUACCACUCAUCUCUAAAAGCCUCCACUUUUGACUCCUCUCCCUCCCAUACCCAUCUCCACCACCAUGACAGCACCCACCACCAACGCCACCAGAACAAAAUUUCCUCGCUCAAAAUCCAAAUGCAUACUCUUUACCAUCAUUGCUUCUGUCCUGCUUUUGUCUCUCGUCGCUAUUAUCCUCUUUUUUACCCUUCGUCACAAAAUCUCACAUUCCCACUCUCCAAAUUCAUCUUCAAGCUCAAACUUACCAAUAGCUGCUAUCCAAUUAGCCUGCCAAGCCACACAACACCGGGAAACUUGUCAAACCUCUCUAUCUCAGUCCAAUCUUGUCCCUCCCAAUCCUACCCCACUUCAAAUUAUACAAUCUGCAUUGUGGGUCUCCUCCCAAAACCUCACAAUUGCACAAUCAAUGUUGAAGUCCCUCCUAGCCUCCGCCGCCAGUAACCAAAACGUCACUAACGUUGUCAAAAGUUGUUUGGAGAUUUUGGGUUUUUCCCAGUACCGCAGUUCAGUGUCGAAUGACACUUUGCCAUUCGGUAAGACCAAAGAUGUUCGUGCUUGGAUGAGUGCGGCGGUGGCUUACCAAUACGAUUGUUAUGGAGGACUGAGUUAUCAAGGCGGCAACUCGCAGGAAGUCAAUGAAACGAAGGCUUUUCUUGACAAUUUGAUUGGGCUCAGCAGCAAUGCUUUAAGCAUGAUUGUCUCUUACGAUUUAUUUGGCAACGAAACCCGGUCCUGGCGACCACCAAAAACAGAGCGAGAUGGGUUCUGGGAGGACCCAAAGUUGCGCGGUGAAAUGGGGUUUAGCGGUGAGUUUCCGUCAAACUUAACAGUGGAUGCGACGGUGUGUAAGAAUGUGAGUAGUGGAUGUUACAAAACGGUACAGGAAGCUGUUAGUGCAGCUCCCAGUAAUGCGACGGCGCGAAGGUUUGUGAUACACAUAAAGGAGGGGGUUUAUGAGGAGAUCGUUAGGGUCCCGAUUGAGAAGAAAAAUGUGGUCUUCUUAGGCGAUGGAAUGGGGAAAACGGUAAUUACAGGGUCGUUGACUGUUGGUCAGCCUGGUGUCAAUACAUAUGAGUCUGCUACUGUUGGGGUUCUUGGUGAUGGAUNUUCAUGGCUAGUGGUGUCACAUUCCAGAAUGCAGCAGGUCCUCCUACCCACCAAGCAGUGGCUUUUAGAUCAGACAGUGAUCUAUCAUAUAUUGAGAACUGUGAAUUCCUAGGCAAUCAAGACACUUUGUAUGCUCAUUCUCUUCGCCAAUUCUAUAAAUCAUGUCGGAUUCAGGGCAAUGUCGAUUUCAUUUUUGGAAACUCAGCAGCAGUUUUCCAAGAUUGUCAAAUCUUAGUUGUUCCCAGGCAAGAAAAUCCGGAAAAAGGCGAACAAAAUGCUGUCACUGCACACGGCAGGACGGACCCUGCCCAAUCAACAGGUUUUGUGUUUCAAAAUUGUUCGAUCAAUGGCACUGCAGAGUACAUGGCAUUAUACAAUGGCAACCCAAAGGUUCACAGGAAUUACUUGGGAAGGCCUUGGAAGGAAUACUCAAGAGUCAUUUACAUAAAUUGCAAUUUUGAAUCUCUCAUAACAGCAGACGGGUGGAUGCCUUGGAGUGGCGAUUUCGCACUGAAUACGCUAUACUAUGGAGAAUACAAAAAUUCUGGUCCAGGAUCUAAUUUGUCUCAGAGAGUCACCUGGAGCAGUCAGAUUCCGGCAGAGCAUGUAAACACAUAUUCAGCACAGAAUUUCAUUCAAGGAGACGAAUGGAUGCCUACAUCUUCUUGAAUAUUCAAAAUAAAUAAUGCAGCACACAACAUUAUUACAAAUAAAGUUAGUAUACAGCAUUAUUUAUUUUGAACACUUGUUUACAGAAUCAAUAUGGCGAGUGGUAAUGAAUUUGCUUAAUUUAUAGAUUGAUUACA
rnacentral:misc_RNA from 1 species